rnacentral:rRNA from 1 species
AGAGUUUGAUCAUGGCUCAGGAUGAACGUUGGCGGUGUGCCUAAUACAUGCAAGUCGAACGGAGUUAAUAGCAAUAUUGACUUAGUGGCGAACGGGUGAGUAACGCGUUGGUGAUCUGCCUCGAAGUGUGGAAUAACGUUCCGAAAGGAACGCUAAUACCGCAUGUGCUCUCGAUUUUUAGAAAGUUGAGAGUAAAGGAUUUAUUCGCUUCGAGAGGAGCCUGCGUCCCAUCAGCUGGUUGGUAGGGUAACGGCCUACCAAGGCUAUGACGGGUAGGGGACCUGAGAGGGUGGCCCCCCACAAUGGAACUGAAACACGGUCCAUACACCUACGGGUGGCAGCAGUAGGGAAUAUUAGAAAUGGACGAAAGUCUGAUCUAGCAACACCGCGUGUGCGAAGAAGGCCUUCGGGUCGUAAAGCACUUUUUGGAAGGAAUAGGAAGGAAUGUACUUCCAGAAUAAGUCUCGGCUAACUACGUGCCAGCAGCCGCGGUAACACGUAGGAGGCGAACGUUAUCCGGAUUUACUGGGCGUAAAGCGCGUGUAGGUGGUACUGUAAGUAGGGCGUGAAAGCUCCCGGCUCAACUGGGAGAGGCCGUUCUAAACUACAGAACUAGAGGAUGGUAGAGGGAGGUGGAAUUCCAGGUGUAGCGGUGGAAUGCGCAGAUAUCUGGAGGAACACCGGUGGCGAAGGCGGCCUCCUGGACCAUUCCAGACACUCAGACGCGAAAGCUAGGGUAGCAAACGGGAUUAGAGACCCCGGUAGUCCUAGCCCUAAACGAUGUAGACUAGGCGUCGGAAGUUUAAUCACUUUCGGUGUCCAAGCUAACGCGAUAAGUCUACCGCCUGGGGACUACGGCCGCAAGGUUAAAACUCAAAUGAAUUGACGG